AAGACUAUACUUUCAGGGAUCAUUUCUAUAGGCACUCACUAGGAAAUGUGAUUUGAGAGUGUUAUGUCUCGCUAAUCAUGAUGAUGAACUUUGAUGUACUCUUCUGAGCGUGAAUCAGAUUGAAGUUGAUGAUUUAUUUCAUCAGUUUUAAUCAUUGAUGAACGUUCUUCUAUCUUUUCGGAGAUAAGAGAGGGAGAGUACAUGAGCAGAGUGAU